rnacentral:rRNA from 1 species
UACGCAGGGGGCGAGCGUUGUUCGGAAUUACUGGGCGUAAAGGGCGCGUAGGCGGCGACUCUAGUCAGAUGUGAAAGUCCUGGGCUUAACCUGGGGACUGCAUUUGAUACUGGGUUGCUUGAAUUCGGGAGAGGAUAGCGGAAUUCCCAGUGUAGAGGUGAAAUUCGUAGAUAUUGGGAAGAACACCGGUGGCGAAGGCGGCUAUCUGGACCGACAUUGACGCUGAGGCGCGAAAGCGUGGGGAGCAAACAGG